UAUAGAAUGGUGAACGCAGAGAGAGGGAGUGAAGGCGUAACACCACAAAAACGGCAUCACAAGGAGCUGCGUUACCUUCCUGGAGGCAUCUGCUGCUUUCCAAAUAAUUUCUUUAGGCCAUUCAAAUACGAGUAAAACACGCCAGGCCAACUCUGAAAUCCUUUGUAGAUGGGACAUAUCUGAAAGCACGCCACUUGCUACGUGAAUGGCAGAGGAAGAGAAAAGAACUUCUCCAAAAGCCUGCUGUGAAGCCCACGUUAAGAUGAAGCAGAAACGCUUGCCUUAACGGCCAGUAUGCUCUUACAAACCUCACAGCUUGUACAGAAUAGCAGAGCUGAGCUGAUGCCAGAUAAGUGCUGGUCUGAACUCAAACAUCAAACCCCACAGCCCUGCACGGCUGAGUUAUGGAAGAGAAAACUGCAGCAAAAAACUGUGCGAGAGGAAGAAUGGCAGAACUGGUUUGUAGCCCACUUCAACAGGUUUCACACAGAUGAAAAAUAUCUCAUAAAAAAAGGUAAAUUGUUAUGCCUGGUCUUAUAGUUAUGAUCAUAAAGGUUAUUUAAAAUCUUCUUAAUUUUUAAGCCACUUCCAUGUCCUAAUCACCGAUAACUUAUUACUGAACUUAUCACUGUACAGUUAAGAGAAUCCCUAAAUGCUAAUGGUUCACAUUUCUCCCAGAGCUCGGUACAGGCAAUUCCGUGCUCAAAUUCUGUAGUAAAACUGCAGAUGCUUAGAGCAAAUGCCUACCUCCAUCCACAGGCUAGAAGCUUAUCUAAACUGGCAUCUGUUGCGUAUUCCAGCAAUUACAAACAUACUUGAAACUUGACAUUAUUGAACUCCGAAGUAAUGCUUAUUUUUAUCUAGUAAUGGAAAUGGUAAAUGAUAGCGUGGACCUCAUUAAGAUCUAAGUUUCUUAGAAUAGUGUACCUAAGAACUUCAUACAUAAGUAACAAGAUAAUUUUUUAGUACCCAUGUAUAGCAAAGACCUAAAGAGUAGAAUCCUGUCUCCAAUGAGAUCAGUGAGAAUUUUAGUAGUUGCUGCAGGGGUGCCUGGAUUCUACCCGGGAUCUCUGAGAGUGUGCUUUUUGUAUUGGCAAAUGCUUAUGUAAUGUGAUUCUGUGGAGAAAUUUAAUUAAAGAGAAAUGUGUAAAGCACUUGGCAUUAAGUGGUCUAAGUUUGUUAACAUACAGUAUUUGGAAUGAAGCCCAAAUCAGAAGCAAACGAUGCUAACUGAACUGUGAGCAUUUUGAUAAAAAUUACUUUAUGGAGA